rnacentral:rRNA from 1 species
CACGGGGGGAGCAAGCGUUGUUCGGAAUCACUGGGCGUAAAGGGCGUGUAGGCGGUCAGGUUAGUGAGAUGUGAAAUGCCCCGGCUCACCCGGGGACCUGCAUCUCAAACUGCCUGGCUUGAGUAUGGGAGAGGAUGAGGGAAUUCCUGGUGUAGCGGUGAAAUGCGUAGAUAUCAGGAGGAACACCGGUGGCGAAAGCGCUCAUCUGGCCCCAAAUACUGACGCUGAGGCGCGAAAGCUAGGGGGAGCAAACGGG